rnacentral:rRNA from 1 species
GACGAACGCUGGCGGCGUGCUUAACACAUGCAAGUCGAACGGCAAGGCCCUGAUUUCGUGGGGUGAUCGAGUGGCGAACGGGUGAGUAUCACGUGAGUAACCUGCUCUUGACUUUGGGAUAGCUUCAGGUAACUGGGGCUAAUACCGGAUAGGAGCUCCUGCUCCAUGGUGGGGGUUGGAAAGUCUCGGCGGUUGGGGAUGGACUCGCGGCUUAGGAGCUGGUUGGUGGGGGAGUGGCUUACCAAGGAUUUGAAGGGUCGCCGGCCUGGGAGGGUGACCGGCCACAUUGGGACUGGGGUACGGCCCGGACUCCAACGGGGGGCAGCGGUGGGGAAUAUGGCACAAUGGGCGGAGGCCUGAUGCAGCAACGCCGCGUGCGGAAGGACGGCCUUCGGGUGGUAAACCGCUUUCGCCUGUGACGAGGCGUGAGGGACGGAAAUGGGUAAAGAGAACCGGCUAACUACGUG